ensembl:lncRNA
CUGCCUUCCCACCAGGUGCUCAAUCGCUGGUUCAAGCCAUGACAUCGCGUUUCUGCUACAGUAACACACUGAAGACAAGGAAGAUCCCUGUUCACUUACCUUCAGCCAUGAAAAGGUCUUAAUCUCCAAGUCAAUUUCUGUUUCUGCUUAUUCUCUGCAUUAUGCCUAGUUUGUGCAUUUCACAUGGACUCAGACCUGUAACAGAAGGGAAUACAAGCAGCUUGCUGCAGCUUGAGAAUUUAGCCUCACACCUGGAAGCCCAAGUGCAAGACAAUUUCUUCUUGAUGAAGAUUGAAGUUACAACCAAAGUUUCCCAUUGUGCUGAUUAGAGUUUCUUCUCACAUACCUCGAGACCAGACUGGAGAGAGAGGAGAGCAUUGCCGUUUCCUCCACUCCUGAACAGUCUUGGACAAACUGGACAGAAUACUUUGACACAUGACAUGAAGGACCAGAGGGGCAUUUCAAACACAGAUAACCCAAACACAGAAAACUCAACUGAAGUGAAAUAUUUGAAUUCUUGCCAUUCAGUUACACAGUUUUUUGUAGGUAAUAUAUUUUAAAAUAUGAGCUAAGUAGCUUGGCUGGGAUAUUGGCCAAGCAGAGGGGCAGCAGGAUGGAAGCUGACAGCCAGAAUCUAGGUACCAUGGCCCUAGGAAAAUCCAGCCCCCACAGCACUCUGACAUUCAAACUUCCUACUGGUCAUCUUCCCCUUUCCUGUGAUAAAAAGUCCUUACGGCCACACAGUUUAAUUACAAAGAAAAUGAACUGUAAAUAAUACGUUACUUAGGUUUAAGCUGCUAUUACAAUUGUAUGUAGCAAUUGGCUCAAGUAUUAUAAUAAUGGUUGCCACACUAGUUCAGCCAUAGAUAACACAAAUUUACCACCCAGUAUGCAACAUCAACUUUCAUUUCCCUUGUCCUCACAUUGAUUGAUGAAAUAGCUUUGAAACAAUCAAGUGUUCCCACUAAAAGAAAGGACAGUGGCAGAGUCUUAACAGAAAAAUAAUGGUUUUAUCUAUCACACUUGAAAUAAUUCCCAACAUACUAAUUAAGCUGGGCAAAAUUUCAAGGAAGAUUUGCAUCAGAAAUUUACAAAUUGAUUGUUUUAUUCAGUGCUCCCUGUGGGACAGAGAUGUGAUUUAAAACACAAAAUCAAUUAUGAAUGAGUGAAGACAAAGAGAGCAAAAUAGACCGGAGUAUUUGAAGAACAGAAAGUGAGAAAGAUUCUUAAGAAAAGAAACUGAGAUCACAAAGAUUCAGUGGGUGAAGGCACAAAACAGAAUUAAUUCUAGAAGUAAUUUGCUUUGUGUGACCUAGUUUAGGAUCAAUAUCAUAAGUUGUAGAACCAAAUGAUUUUGAGACAACUGCCAAACCCAGUAGGUCUUUUAUAGAUAUUUAGACAGGUAAUCAAAUCAUUUGAAUGUUUAUUUUUCUUUCAGUUGCAGAAGUGGAUCAAUUCUGCUUUUAGCAUGACGGGAUGGUUUUCUCAAUCCAUGCUGUGGGAUACAUUUCCUACAUUUAAACAAGCUCAGCUUGUUCCUGGCUUUCUACCAGAGGCUGUCAAUGUCCUAUUAGCACGUGCAUGCUUGUUCCUUGGAAAUAUCCUCCAGCAGGGCAUGUCAGCCAGGUGACAGCAGUCUUCCUCCAGAG